rnacentral:rRNA from 1 species
CAAGCGGUGGGGCGAUGUGGUUUAAUUCGAUGAUACGCGAGGAACCUUACCUGGGCUCAAAUGUAUGUUGACGUAUUCUGAAAGGGAUACUUCUUCGGACAAUAUACAAGGUGCUGCAUGGUUGUCGUCAGCUCGUGCCGUGAGGUGUCGGGUUAAGUCCCAUAACGAGCGCAACCCUAUCAUUAGUUGCCAUCAGGUCAAGCUGGGGACUCUAAUGAAACUGCCUACGCAAGUAGUGAGGAAGGUGGGGAUGACGUCAAAUCAGCACGGCCCUUACGUCCAGGGCUACACACGUGCUACAAUGGCCGGUACAAAGGGCAGCUACCUGGUGACAGGAUGCUAAUCUCAAAAGCCGGUCUCAGUUCGGAUCGGAGUCUGCAACCCGACUCCGUGAAGCUAGAAUCGCUAGUAAUCGCGCAUCAGCCAUGGCGCGGUGAAUACGUUCCCGGGCCUU